GAUGCCACCUGAAGUUUCCAGAGCUAGCAGCUGUGAAACAACAAUUUUCAUUUGUUAGGACAAUUUUUCUGAUUGGGGUCUGUACAAAGAGAAAGUUGAAAGAGUACACAGUGAUAUGGUUCCUGGAGUAUCUUGGAUUAAUGAUCAACAUAGACACAUGGUGCCAAGGAAGUUCAUCAUAGAUCUGGGGUGAGCAUAAGAAUACUAUCAAGUGCAAGGUCUCAUCUCAGAAGAAUGUUAACAGAAGGUGAAUAUGGACAUGAAGGAAAACAAGCGGUGUCACAGAAACAAAAAUCCAAUUCUUGUUGAUUCGGAAUGCUGAUCUACACAAACUUGCUCCAAAGAACCAGAGUUCAUAUGAGACCUACUGAUGCUGCACAGAGGGGUCUGAUAUUGCAAAGCAAAGCAAAAAAAACCCCUCUAAACUUUCCCCUAGGAUUAGACAGAUUGAAAAUGGAUACUUGGAUGAAGUGUCAUGGACCCUAGAAAGAAGUCAACAAGUAGAAUUAUGGCUGGUGCAAAAUCCGCUUUAGACAAGUGAACCAGGAGGGCCUUGAUGUUGGUGUAUAAGAUAACAUCCCUUAUUUCAGCCCAACAAAGUCAUACAGCAUGACCUCCAUUCUAUUCCGUAUAGAACUAUGAAGGUACAACCCCAGAAGGAAGUAUUAUUUUAUUUUGUUUAUUAAAGUAGAUCUUCCAUUAGCUACUAUCUCCAUUAAGACAAGUUUUUGAAGUUGGGAGUUUUCUUUGAGACCCAGUAUAGAAAGUUUACUUCAGACAAAUAGUCCUCACAAUAAUUAUAGCAUUCAUUCCCAAAGUAAAUUCAACAAAUAUUGUUCCUUCUGUUAAGUAUCAAUGUCCAGUCAUUAGGAGCACUGACUAUCAUAGGUUAGAGAAAUCAUGUCUUCCGCAUUGAAAUCAGCUGAGAGGUUCCAAGGCCAUCAGUACAUGUUAACCUAAUUCUAUAUUAAGCUUAUUUAAUGUUUAGUCAGUCUUUUUUUCCCCCAGAAAUAUUCUCCAUGCCUUAGUGCCCAGGGGAAGAUACACAAUACGCUUCAUUUUGAAUUACCAUAUUUAAAUGGUUAUUCUGCUUUCCACCUUGGAGAGAGACAGCCAUGAAAUCCCCACGGUAAUGGAUCUGUGGACCUUAGCAUGAUGAAGAAUAGAAAAAUGUGUCUGCUUACCUGAAAAUUUCCUUUUUUGUGUAAUAAGGUUCAGAGAUUCAGCCCAUGUGGAUCAUCAAGAAUAAAGAUGGAAAUGGACAUCUGAAGAAUUGGGUUUGUUUUCAUUAGGGAGAAUUUCACAUGCUCUAAGGUUGGAGAAAUUGUUGUGGAUUUGCCUCAAAAUAUAUUAACACAAUCCUGUAAUUUAAGAAAGUAGAAUUGAAUUAUGUUAGCUGUGGAAGUUGUCUUGACUGGACAUAAUUGCAGGAGGUAGGACAUUCCUCUGCUGCCAAUGACUGGCAGGUCUGAUUCUUCCCUCAAGCUGAAAGCAGGCUGAAGAACCCAUUGUAAUGGAUCUGUGGACUUCAUUACUUGAAGAAAAUAACUUUUCAGGUAAUUACAGACAAAUUUCUAUUUACAUAAGUUGAGGAUCUGGCCACUGGAACGUUAUGAAAAAAGCAAAGGAGACACCUGCUGUCUUUGCCAGUGUUCCUUCUUUCAAUAAAACAGGACUGCUUGUGUGCCAUUUUGAUGAAUAUAAGAGCUACUAUCUUUGCAUACAUAGCCAUUGCAUGUGAUAAUUUAGAAAGUGCUGUGAGAUGUAUGAAAAAGAUAUACAAUCAUUGGUUUCUAAUCUACUAGAUAUCUAAUUUCUUAAAUUGUCUUGAGUCACUUGCCUCUCUGAACCAGUGAUGAACAGAGACAUCCUAGAGGCAGUGCAAUUGGCCUUCAGAAUUCAAGGUGAUUGUUACAGUCUAAGAUCUUCCAAAUAUUUAUCUUGGAUUUGGGUGGAGAUAUUUGGUUAUCUUCUUUGCUAGUGAAUGAAUGCAUUGAUAUUAAACAUCAAAAGAUGUGUACUCAUAAAAAAAUUAAAACUCUUUGGAUUCUGAAAAAUAAGUACUAGGGAUCCUCAGGCUGCUGUUUUCUGGAGUAUUUCUGUUUAGAGAGAAUGUGAGCUAGUUAUCUACCACAACAAAAACUGAGUGACUCCCUUUUUACCCAAAUUUUUGCUAGUUAGCAGUUUCCAACCUAGAUUCCUGCAGUGUGGAAUUAACUUUUUAAAAUUGGAUUAUGCUUUCACCUUCAAAAGUUUGACUAUGAGAUUUCAAAAGAGGAGUAUCUUACAACCUUUCUUUGUAGAUAAAUCUUUGAUCUCUGGAGUAUGUUGAUGAAAAACAAUAUAGACUGCAGUAAUAGAUCUAGUCAAUGCCUGGCUCUUGGUUUCUUUUAUAAAACUUGCUAUGUAUAUUGCAGGUUUUGUGAGAGCAGUGAUAUAAUCAUCCCUUUUAAGUGAUUUGUUGUAUCCCUAAGAUCCAGCAUUUUCUUCUCUUAUUACAUUGACUUUGAAUCCUGGGAUCAUCACAUUGUUGGAAAAGCAGUUUCUCUUAUUUUUUUAAGAGUUGUUGGCAUUCUCCCAUCGAAGGCAAACGGUGUUCUCUUCCUGUCUCUCCAUUUAUAUUUGUUAAUCUUAAUAAAUUCUCCAAUUUCUUUUGAUUCUUCUGUCUGGUUGAUACUUUAAAUUUAUAGUCCAGUACUUUAUUUCUUUUGGCAGUUUCCUUCAGCAUUUUCUGCUAGAUGGCAUCUUCUGGGAAUCUCAUCUGCUAAAGUAGUGCCACUUUUCUGCCAACAUUAUCUUCAG